rnacentral:rRNA from 1 species
GAUGAACGCUAGCUACAGGCUUAACACAUGCAAGUCGAGGGGAAACGAUAGAGAAAGCUUGCUUUUUCUAGGCGUCGACCGGCGCACGGGUGAGUAACGCGUAUCCAACCUGCCCACCACUUGGGAAUAACCUUGCGAAAGUAAGACUAAUACCCAAUGAUAUCUCUAGAAGACAUCUGAAGGAGAUUAAAGAUUUAUCGGUGAUGGAUGGGGAUGCGUCUGAUUAGCUUGUUGGCGGGGUAACGGCCCACCAAGGCGACGAUCAGUAGGGGUUCUGAGAGGAAGGUCCCCCACAUUGGAACUGAGACACGGUCCAAACUCCUACGGGAGGCAGCAGUGAGGAAUAUUGGUCAAUGGGCGGGAGCCUGAACCAGCCAAGUAGCGUGCAGGAUGACGGCCCUAUGGGUUGUAAACUGCUUUUAUAAGGGAAUAAAGUGAGCCUCGUGAGGCUUUUUGCAUGUACCUUAUGAAUAAGGACCGGCUAAUUCCGUGCCAGCAGCCGCGGUAA